rnacentral:rRNA from 1 species
CACGUAGGCGGGAACUUAAGUCAGGUGUGAAAGACCGAGGCUCAACCUCGGGGUGGCACUUGAAACUGGGUUUCUUGAGGGCAGGAGAGGAAAGCAGAAUUCCUGGUGUAGCGGUGAAAUGCGUAGAAAUCAGGAGGAAUACCAGUGGCGAAGGCGGCUUUCUGGACUGACCCUGACGCUGAGGUGCGAAAGCGUGGGUAGCAAACA